ensembl:lncRNA
GACAGUCCCUCCAAGUGUACUAUCAAAUGCUUUGAUUGAAGCACAGUGGCCAACUCAUGCAACAAAUGAGUAACAACUGGCAAUCAUAUUUACUUCUGUGAUCCAGUGUUUAGCAUUGUCACAAACUACUCUUUACCUGUUGAUAUUAUCAGAACUGAAAAUGAUUUUUUCUCCUAUAGGUUUGUACCUGGUUGUGUUGCCGUUCAGGAGCAUGCUUCUUAAAUAAAACUGCAGUAAGCAAAACUGAUGGGCGGAUAAUUUUUGAAGCGAAUGGGGGAAUUGAAACAACAUGAUAGCUGCAUUCGCACCCCUUCAGGCAGGUUCCCCAGGGAGCGCGCUGUGUUACAGUCUUCCCCCAUCCACUCCACAGUUCUGAGAUGCACAGAGACGAUAACACACUCUGUGCUGGUAUGUGGUGAAGUGUGCAGCUGCAGCAGUUAGGAGGAAUGCAUCAUGGAGUUGCUGGUAGGACUGGAGGAAGCUACUGGGAUAAGUGCCACAUUCUGCUGCUCCACAGGGCAUUGUGGGUAAUAUAUAGAGGUGCUCAAGAUGCGCUGGGCUCAUGCGAUUGUUUAUGGUAGAAAUAAAGUGCAGUAUAAACUGCA